CUGUGAGAAGCAGUGUACGUUUCUCUUCAUUUGCAGACGGGCUCCUGGACUCAGGGGAGGACCCCCAUGAGUCCUCCCUCUGCUGAGCAGGCGCUGGGCCCAUCUUUGUCUUGAUGGAUGACAACCCUUCUGCCGUUGCCAUUGCUAGAAGGCUGGGGACAUCUCUGGCCGGAACAGGCCACUGUGGAGAGAAGGCAGUUAGUAGGAGAGUGGCCCGUGGGGAAGACCUAUCCUGAGGAGAAAGUUCUGGAGGCUGCCAAGUCCAGGAUCAAAGCACUCCUGCCUCGGUAGGUGAUGAGAUCCCGCGUCCUGGUCCCUAGAUGACGCCAUCUCUGCGCAGAUGGUGAGGUCAGUGAAGAGUUCAACCCAAAGACCCUGUGGGAGACACACACAUUUGAACUACGGAAGGACUAACUUCUGAGCUCAAGGAGAUACUAAAGGGGCAUGUUGAGGACAUAGAAACCUUACUCGCUCAACAUUUCCAGUUAAGGUUGCUGGCUGGAGUCACUGAAAUGUUUGAAUAAUGCAACAAUUAAUGCCACAAGGAACUGCCGUGAGACAGGGAAGCGUUUUCUUCCAGUUACAACAGCACAGCCUUGUUAUACAACUAGCAGCUUCCAUUCAGAGCACAGAGAAUUCACCGGAAACCUUCAAGCCUUCGAUGUGCUCAGAAGCAGAGACUCGGCUCAGCCCAACCCUGAUCCUCCAUAACGUUUUUCUCAAACCGUUUACCAAUGUGUUUUCACUUAAAAAUCGUCUUAAUUGAACUAAGCAUUGAAACAGCUCUCAUUUUUAUGUUAUUAUUAUUAUUAUUAUUAUUAUUAUUUAUUUUCUGCAUUGGCUUUUGGAAACAGCACAUGCAAAACAAAACAAAAAAAG